GAUGAACGCUGGCGGCGUGCCUAAUACAUGCGAGUCGAGCGAACGGACGAGAAGCUUGCUUCUCUGAUGUUAGCGGCGGACGGGUGAGUAACUCGUGGAUAACCUACCUAUAAGACUGGGAUAACUUCGGGAAACCGGAGCUAAUACCGGAUAAUAUUUUGAACCGCAUGGUUCAAAAGUGAAAGACGGUCUUGCUGUCACUUAUAGAUGGAUCCGCGCUGCAUUAGCUAGUUGGUAAGGUAACGGCUUACCAAGGCAACGAUGCAUAGCCGACCUGAGAGGGUGAUCGGCCACACUGGAACUGAGACACGGUCCAGACUCCUACGGGAGGCAGCAGUAGGGAAUCUUCCGCAAUGGGCGAAAGCCUGACGGAGCAACGCCGCGUGAGUGAUGAAGGUCUUCGGAUCGUAAAACUCUGUUAUUAGGGAAGAACAUAUGUGUAAGUAACUGUGCACAUCUUGACGGUACCUAAUCAGAAGGCCACGGCUAACUACGUG
rnacentral:rRNA from 1 species